AGAGUUUGAUCAUGGCUCAGAACGUACGCUGGCGGCACGCCUAACACAUGCAAGUCGAACGAAGUAGCAAUACUUAGUGGCAGACGGGUGAGUAACAUGUAGGUAUCUGCCCUUUGGCCUGGAAUAACACGAGGAAACUUGUGCUAAUACCGGAUAAGUCUUUACAGAGAAAGCUUUAUGCACCAUUGGAUGAGCCUGCACUUGAUUAGUUUGUUGGUGGGGUAAUGGCCUACCAAGACUGUGAUCAAUAGCUGAUUUGAGAGGAUGAUCAGCCACAUUGGGACUGAGACACGGCCCAAACUCCUACGGGAGGCAGCAGUGGGAAAUCUUGCACAAUGGAGGAAACUCUGAUGCAGCGAUGCCGCGUGAGUGGAGAAGGCCCUUGGGUUGUAAAGCUCUUUCGUCGGGGAAGAAAAUGACUGUACCCGAAUAAGAAGGUCCGGCUAACUUCGUGCCAGCCGCCGCGGUAAUU
rnacentral:rRNA from 1 species